CAGCCGUAAACUAUGCUCGCUAGGUGUCAGGCAUGGCGCGACCGUGUCUGGUGCCGCAGGGAAGCCGUGAAGCGAGCCACCUGGGAAGUACGGCCGCAAGGCUGAAACUUAAAGGAAUUGGCGGGGGAGCACCGCAACGGGAGGAGCGUGCGGUUUAAUUGGAUUCAACACCGUAAAACUCACCAGGGAAGACUGUUACAUGAAAGCCGAGUUGAAGACUCUGCUAGAUUUUCAGAGAGGAGGUGCAUGGCGUAGACGUCU
rnacentral:rRNA from 1 species